UAAAUACCCCAUGUUGAAUUUCUUCCACAUAUCUCCUUAUCACGACAAGGCAAGUGAUAGGUUGCUGGUUUUAUAUACUAUUAUGUUGCUAUUACUAGGGUGAUGUUUAUCCAGUGAAUCUUAUGAAAGCUUCUCCAUGAAUCGAAUUCUUGAUACUCAUUGGGGUGCCAUGACUGAUAGUGAUGUAAGUUUUUGCAUGCUGAAAAUUAGUGGCAAGAGCCCUGAAGUGUACUUAAACACUAAAAUUGUUAAAAUUUGUUUGCAUUGAACUACAAUUACAACUUUAAUACCCAUUUACUUUGUCGAUCCUUGUGAAUGAUUCCCUAGAACUUUUCGUCGUCUCUUAUCUGGCAUUUUUCUAUCUCGCUGUCUAAUGCGUUGGUGAGACUAAUUAGAUGCAUUAGUGAUUUUCUUUUGAAGCAUCACUACUAAUGUUUUGGAAGCAUGCCCACCAUGAUUUGUCAGAAUGACAUGCUGAAUGUGCUAUCUGUAUUAGUAAUGCAUUUUCUUAUUUCACCCAGAGUAAUUCUGUUUAGUUACACCUUUGCACAGAUAUUUUAGUGUUUCUUGCUUUCACCGGUUGAUUUGUUUCGAUGAGUUACUGAGAGCUACUCUGUAUUUUGUUCCUAUUGAUGUAUAGGUUAUACUGAUGAAACUUCGGUUAUCAAGGAUGUACCAUAUAUCUACUAAGUAAUGCUAAUAGUUUGCUCUUUGUUGUCCAAUACUUCUAAAUAUGGAUUGGUUGCUCCACUUCAUGUGACUUCGUGAGAAGUGGGAUUAGAUUUCCUGUUUAGUUUAUGUGUUUCAAGAAAGAUAUUUGGAUAAUUUGAGAUUGCCAUUUAUAUUUGGAUGUUCAUUCUUCUCCGCGGGUAUAUUCCCACAUUGAACUGGAUUAUUGCUAUGAUUCGGUUGAUUCAGACAUAUUGUAUCUUGAAUGGCUUUCAUCGUUGGGCAAAUCAAGCGAUGGAAGAUCCAUGCCACUUGUGAUGUUAUCUGCUACUCAUUUGCGGGCCUUGCGGUUGUCAUUCUCAUGGCUCUACCAUUCGCGUUUAUCCAGGGUGUUUGAUGCAUUUCUUCUCCAGAAAAGGGAUAAGUAUCUGAGUCAUAUCAGAUCGAGUGAUAGCAGAGGGUCUCAGGCCUGAUGAAUCGAAUGUUGACGUGGGACCAUUUUUUGUGAUGUCCAGCUCAUCGUCCACUGAGGCACCGCAGAAGAUGGUCCAAGGUCUGCUUGUUAUUUUUCUUCAUUACCCAAAUCAGUAGUAUCCCUUGACAGUCUUACCUUUAGUAAGAUCAUUCUUAAUUAGUUUUGUGCACUAAUGGAUUGCUUAUGACUGAUAAUGGGUGAGAUCCAGUUCAAGUUAGCAUGAACACAUUAAACAGUUCAAGUUAGCAUGCUCUCGUAAUCCUAGGACUUUAUUUGCUCAAUAAUCGAAGUUAUAGUGACCAUAAGCCUACGAUACGAUACCGUAUAUUUGAGAAAACAAAUCAUGUGAGUCAAUUUGAACUAGGGAUAGAUCAUGAUGAGUAAUGUUAAUGUCUUGGCUAAUAAUCAAAGAUAAUAACUGUAAGAGGAAUAAUGUAAUUCGAAGUACAAAAAAUGUUCUGUUAAGAAAUUCCCAGCAUGUUUUAUACUGACAUCUUGUUGUCAUUCUUAUGUACCUCUUCUAUCUUGUCUUCUUGAUUUGUUUUUGGUCAUAUGGCUUUCAUGUACGGACAAAGUUAGGCAUCUUCCUGCAGUGUGGUCAUUGCCAUGUUGGACACUGCCAAAUUCCUCUGUGAUGCGAUUUCAAGAAUGGAAAAGGUAGCAGAACAAGGCAGUGCUAUAGCGCUAUGGAAGGGGUCGAUGGGGAAAUAGAUUUGCAGAUAGCCUUUUCCAGCUUCUCAAGGCCACCCAUGACAUAUUCUAUUCAGGCCUCUUUGAUUAACUAGCUGAUGUUAUAUUUUGGGUCCUUCAGGUCCUCACACACUCAUAGAAAAUCUUUGAGAUCAUAUGUUCAAGCCUUCCUUGUUUGUCCACUAUCAUGAUUGAAAAUAGCAGGUAAAUUGGUACUUCCAAGAAUA